CAGCAGCCGCGGUAAUACGUAGGGGGCAAGCGUUGUCCGGAAUGAUUGGGCGUAAAGGGCGCGUAGGCGGCCUGUUAAGUCUGGAGUGAAAGUCCUGCUUUUAAGGUGGGAACUGCUUUGGAUACUGAUGGGCUUGAGUGCAGGAGAGGUAAGCGGAAUUCCCGGUGUAGCGGUGAAAUGCGUAGAGAUCGGGAGGAACACCAGUGGCGAAGGCGGCUUACUGGACUGUAACUGACGCUGAGGCGCGAAAGUGUGGGGAGCAAACAGGAUUAGAUACCCUGGUAGUCCACACUGUAAACGAUGAAUGCUAGGUGUAGGGGGUAUCGACCCCUUCUGUGCCGGAGUAAACACAAUAAGCAUUCCGCCUGGGGAGUACGGCCGCAAGGUUGAAACUCAAAGGAAUUGACGGGGGCCCGCACAAGCAGCGGAGCAUGUGGUUUAAUUCGAAGCAACGCGAAGAACCUUACCAGGUCUUGACAUCCAAUAAAACUUGUAGAGAUACAUCGUGCCUUCGGGCGUAUUGAGACAGGAGGUGCAUGGCC
rnacentral:rRNA from 1 species